GUUGUGUACAGCAUCCUCGCCUCAAAUGGAGAUCUUUCAAAGUGUCACUCUUUAGCAGGAUUGAAAGCACAAACAUAUUUAUCCAUUUUUUGUCAAGCUAUCCAAAAUGAAUAUCUUAGAAUUUUAAAUGGGAACUCAUUUUGAAUGUAUUGCUCACAUUUGAGCAAAUAAACAUCUAAGAUUUUCAGUCUACUAACCAGAUAC
rnacentral:lncRNA from 1 species